AAGAUUCUAGUAAAAAUUAUAUUAGUUUGUCAGACUAAAGUUACUCUAAGUGUUUCUUA
rnacentral:tRNA from 1 species